CCUUGCUAAACAGGACCCAUGGGAGAGAGAUUUGAAGAAGCCAUCAGGGUUUUGACUAGAAGGCAGGGAUCCUGAAAGCUGUGAAAGUCUGAUCUAUCAGAGGUGGCUGCCAAGCUCUGCUUUCCUCUACGGAUGGCAAAAUAAAAAGAUGUGAAACAAGACAUAUUUAAAUGGAAGAGAGAGGAAUGGGAGAGGAAAGCAAAAAUAUAAAUAUUUUAAAAAGCUUUAUUUUCCUGAAGCAAAGAAUGACACAUGAAGCCGAGGGAAUCUCAAUGUUCACCUUGCAUUUCCAUGACUAGCAAGAAAGGGGAACCCCUACAGGAAUGUUCAUUCUCUGCCUCUGACCUGUGAAGUCCCAAUCAUCCCCAAGGACCAAUUCCAAAUGUCAAUUUAUUCACCACCAUCACCCUUGUCAUUGCGUCCACGUCCACUCUCCUCUCUCUCUGACUUGUGUUAAUGGUAGGUAUCUGCAUAUGAAUCUAGGCUGGGGGGAUGUCUUUGAGGUCAAGGACUAUUUCUGAUUCACUGUGUGUCUCUCUAGAUCCCUCUUCCACCUAGCAAAGAUGCUCAAAAUACAUAUACAAAUGAUA